rnacentral:rRNA from 1 species
CAUGGCUCAGAUUGAACGCUGGCGGCAGGCCUAACACAUGCAAGUCGAACGGUAACAGGAAGAAGCUUGCUUCUUUGCUGACGAGUGGCGGACGGGUGAGUAAUGUCUGGGAAACUGCCUGAUGGAGGGGGAUAACUACUGGAAACGGUAGCUAAUACCGCAUAACGUCGCAAGACCAAAGAGGGGGACCUUCGGGCCUCUUGCCAUCGGAUGUGCCCAGAUGGGAUUAGCUUGUUGGUGGGGUAACGGCUCACCAAGGCGACGAUCCCUAGCUGGUCUGAGAGGAUGACCAGCCACACUGGAACUGAGACACGGUCCAGACUCCUACGGGAGGCAGCAGUGGGGAAUAUUGCACAAUGGGCGCAAGCCUGAUGCAGCCAUGCCGCGUGUAUGAAGAAGGCCUUCGGGUUGUAAAGUACUUUCAGCGGGGAGGAA